rnacentral:sRNA from 1 species
UGUCAUGUCUGAAACAAGUUCAAGAUGA